rnacentral:lncRNA from 1 species
UGAUUUGUAAGGUGAAGGUAAAGGCUUGGCUUUGGGAAUUGAAAAGCUGAGGAGAUGAAUGCAUGCAGAUUCAGAUGAAGUUGAAUAGUUAUUUGUUGAAUGGAAAUAUUAAUUUAUAUAUAAAUACCAUUGAUUCACUCCUUAGUAAAAAAAGAGAGUAUAUUACUUAUUCUAAACAUGAAUGUGAUUCCGUACAUUCAACGAAACAAGUAGCAUUAGAAAUUAAUUGAUUUAUUAUAUAAUAACAUGUUUGUUCCCUUGUAAACUAGGGAGGAUUGGUAGAUACUGAAUUUAUUUCUCAAUUUAAU